rnacentral:lncRNA from 1 species
CACGCGAGGAGAGCUGUGCGACGCAGGUUUGCACGCACACCUUCAAGAGAAGACAAAGAGGGUGAAGGGUGUCGGGGAGGUUAGGGCGGACCGGAUUGCAUGGGCACUCAGGCGUGCCCCCUGUCCCAGCCGGACACGCAGGACACCGCCAAACAGGACUUCGAAAAACAGAGUGGUACCGACAGCGACAGCGGGUCGAGUCACGCCCCCCCCCCAACUCUUCCCACACCCGCAAGACUCAAUCCCCAUCCUAGUGCUGAGUCCACUUUAAUUGAGGACCAGGAAGAAAGUAGUCUUCCCCCAGCUGAAAGUGCCAGGUCCAGGGCAGACUCCUUUGCAGUUAAGGCCUCGGAGGUAAACACAAGGACUCAAAGACAGGCACGACAUUCUCCUCCAAACCUGCCCUCCCACCUUCAAGAUGUGGUCCCGACCAGAACAUUCUUAAACUUUCAUCCUUCCAACUCGAAGAAGCGGAAAAGGAAAGAUAAACGGUAUUUUUAAAAAUAGGGGAAAGUGUGCCAGAGGAGCAGUGUCCCUGAACCAUGCACAGCAUGGCCGACACCUCCUGAUGCUUUCAUCAACUCUGCAUCUUCUCUCCUUCCAUCUGAGGGGAAAGAGGAAGGACCUCCUGAAAGGUGGUGAGAGCCAUCUUGGAGUAUGAGGCUUUGCUCAGCCUCAGACUGUCCUGCCCCAGGCAGGUACUUACAAUUCAGAGCUAGUUUUCUGUAGGGAGAAGACCUUUGGGGUCCAGACUAACCUCACAGAGCCCUCAGGGUACCCAGGAGGAAGGGACAAUGACCAGCAUCCCCCUGAAAAUAACUCAGUUCUUAGGCCCAUCGAUGCUGGCAGCCCACAUUAGCUGGGGUGACAGGUGGGCUUUGUCAGAGGAUUCCUUAACCCCCAGGAGAAACCCUGAGACUUUCCUUCCCUGGAGACUGACUGGAAAAGGAGGAGGCUGCAAACAGACUCAGGCAUUUGAGGUGCUUGUCCUGCCUCUGUCCUGGGAUGAAGAUUACCUUUGGGCAAAUCACAGCUCAGUGGGCCUCAGUGACCUCAUCUAGAAAACAAGAGGGUGGAUUAGCUCAGUGGUAGGAAGAAGAGUGCCCUUGGGAAGGCUGGGGGAGGAGGCCUGGAGAACCCCUGCUUGGCAUGAGAAUUGAUGGUUGGAAUGGGAGCACAUAGGUCCUGGGAAUGGUGUGUAGGCCACGAAAGGUUGGAUUUGAUGAUCUCUGAGGUCCCUUCCAGCCCUGUCACUCUAGGACUCCCUCCUUCCUUCAUUCCAUUGGCAAACCCCUCCCCUUGAAGCAGCUUUGCCUGCUGCCACCAAUUACGUGUAGGGCUGGAGAACAAGUGCAAACUUGCCAUCUUCUUUGCCCCAAACAGGAGUGUGGUUUAAAAAAAAAAAAGAAGAAGAAGAAAGAAAAGGAAUUGGAGGAUGCCAGAUGGUGCCUGAUCUACAUGGGGGCACAGAGAGCUGAUUAGCCCCCCCAAGGCAGGGAAGGGCGAUGGCAUGGCGCCUUGCUCUGCCUCUGCCUUGCUUUGGACACUGGUGGGCGCUCCAGUGGGCCCCUAGGGAGGCGGGGCUCCAGCCUGCCUUUACACCACAGAUGAGGUGGGCAUAGAGGAUUCUGUAUGGCAGAUUAGUAGGUCAUCUCAGAUCUCCUCUCCAGCUCAGCAUGAUUUCCUGGGCCUGGGAGUAUGGAUAUUACCCUGGCCUGCGGGGAGGGAGAGGAGGUGGCCCCACUUUAGCCUCCAUAUCUCUUGCGUCUUGGUGUCUUUUAUUCAAGUUUCCUUCAGAGCAGAAACAGGUCUUAUAUCCGUAGGGUACUGUGAAUUGGGGUGCUCUGCCCUGUCUACUUCUGCAGGGACUCACAACUGGAUAGCUACUUAGGAAGAUAACAAGGCAGGAAUAGAGAGAUGGCUUUUGCAAGUGCUACUACCAAAGCAGCAGUGCAGGCUGGACCCUCCCUGGCAGGGGCAGAAUGUCCCCGGCGUCCCCGGCUUCUCUGGGCUUCCCACACUCACUCUCAGGCUGCACUUUGCUUUGGGGCUUUACUUUUUUUUCAGGAAUACCUCUGUCAUGCGUUUCACUCUAAUUUCUCCUGCAAAUGUCUAGGGAGAGGAUGGGGCUGGCGGGCCCAGAGCCAAUACCUCUCGAUUCUGAUCCUGCUUCCAAGGACACCUCUGCCAGGGCUCUGCCACAUUCAGGGACUCCUCCUCCCCUGCCAAGUCUCCUCCCAUGAGCUUUUGGUUUUCUUUCUGCCCCUCAGCUUCCCCAUCUGUAAAUGAGUCCAGGGCCUCUAUCUUGACAGGCAACAUAGUCUAACAGAGAACAAGUGCACAUGGAAACUAGGCUACCCCAAGGUCAAUGUCCCGCCAAAUAUCUAUUUUGACUGAGUUAUUUCAUUUCUCUGAGCCUCAGCUUCCUCAUCUAGAAAGUGGGUAUGUCCACACAACCUCCCAAGUGAGGCAUCAUCUCUCUUUAACUACACUGGCUCUAGAGGAAAUAAACCUGCAGUUCAGAUCUCAGCUGUGACUCAGGUAGGUUACUCAAUCUCGGUGAGCUUCAGUUUUUUCUUCUGACAAAAGGAGUAAAAACACCCAUCUCAUAGGGUUAUGGUGUUAAUUAAAUGAGAUCAUGAAUGGAAAACCCCUGGCAUAUAGGCGUUCCAUAGGUGGUGGCUCUUUGUUGGUAUUUCCACUACUUCUCAAAAGGAACAAAGGCCUCAAGUGUCUUUAGGAAAGGUGUCUUAGUGCCUGGGGACAACCAGUCUUGUCCCAGGCCAGACUUUGACACAGCGAAGUGUGAUGCAGCCAGCUGGGGGUGAGCCUCACCACCCUCCCAUAGGUGAGAAAGUUCCCAAAAUGCCAAGCAUUCCAGCACACUGCCCUCAUCAGCACACUGCCCUCAUCAGCAGCACAUUGGAAUUGGAAAGUUGGAAGGACACUUACCUGCCAGGUAGAGUAGCUCCAGAAUCCCCCUUUCCCUACCGCUUUGUACCUCUUUCCUGCCUCAAAAAGGCACAGACACUCUAGGGCACAAAUCAGAGCUCACUGCUACCACUCACUCAGUGCUUUUCUAUGUGCCAGGCCUAUCCGGCAAGAAUUGUUAUCUUCAUUUUGUUGAUGGAAAAGUGAGGCUAAAGUCACUUUUCCCAGAUGACUGAAUAAGAAGGGACAGAGCGGAGUUCCCCUUGUGGCUCAGCGGUAAUGAGCCCGCCUAGUAUCCAUGAGGAUGGGGAUCCCUGGCCUCGCUCAGUGGGAUGAGGAUCUGACAUUGCCAUGAGCUGUGGUGUAGGUUGCAGAUGAAGCUCGGAUCUGGUGUUGCUGUGGCUAUGGCAUAGGCCAGCAGCUGCAGCUCUGUUUCAGUUCCAUAUGCUGCAGCUGAGGCCCAGAAAGAAAGAAAGAGAGAGAGAGAGGAAGAAAGGAAGGAAGGAAGGAGAA